rfam:Phanerochaete carnosa HHB-10118-sp unplaced genomic scaffold PHACAscaffold_2, whole genome shotgun sequence.
GGCCGCCUGGCGAAAUGGCAUCGCGUCUGACUACGAAUCAGGAGAUUGCAGGUUCGACCCCUGCGGUGGUCA